GACGAAGGAUGCAAGCGUUAUCCGGAUUCAUUGGGUUUAAAGGGUGCGUAGGCGGACUUGUAAGUCAGUGGUGAAAUCUCUCAGCUUAACUGAGAAACUGCCAUUGAUACUGCAGGUCUAGAGUAUAGAUGACGUUGGCGGAAUAUGACAUGUAGUGGUGAAAUACUUAGAUAUGUCAUAGAACACCGAUUGCGAAGGCAGCUAACGAAACUAUAACUGACGCUGAGGCACGAAAGUGCAGGGAUCAAACAGG
rnacentral:rRNA from 1 species